rnacentral:lncRNA from 1 species
UCUUGUUAAGAGAGACAAGUGUACGUAAGACUAAAUAAAUGCUUUGGCUAAUAAUAAAUUGGUUACAGACUAAAUAAAAUAAUCAAAGCUUAUGCCUUCCCCCAAAGGCUGAAUGCAAAAAAUUGGCUCUUCCUCAGUAUUUUAUCCACUUUAGUAGUAUAAUUACUUUGACAAGUGUACGUAAGACUAAAUAAAUGCUUUGGCUUGUAAUAAAUUGGUUACAGACUAAAUAAAAUAAUCAAAGCUUAUGCCUUCCCCCAAAGGCUGAAUGCAAAAAAUUGGCUCUUCCUCAGUAUUUUAUCCACUUUAGUAGUAUAAUUACUUUGACAAGUGUACGUAAGACUAAAUAAAUGCUUUGGCUUGUAAUAAAUUGGUUACAGACUAAAUAAAAUAAUCAAAGCUUAUGCCUUCCCCCA